rnacentral:rRNA from 1 species
CGUUCCCGGGCCUUGUACACACCGCCCGUCAAGUCACGAAAAGUUGGUAACACCCGAAGCCGGUGGCCUAACCCCUUGUGGGAGGGAGCUGUCGAAGGUGGGACUGGCGAUUGGGACU